UACGAAGGGGGCUAGCGUUGCUCGGAAUCACUGGGCGUAAAGCGCACAUAGGCGGACUCUUAAGUCGGUGGUGAAAUCCUGGAGCUCAACUCCAGAACUGCCUUCGAUACUGAGAGUCUUGAGUCCGGGAGAGGUGAGUGGAACUGCGAGUGUAGAGGUGAAAUUCGUAGAUAUUCGCAAGAACACCAGUGGCGAAGGCGGCUCACUGGCCCCGGUACUGACGCUGAGGUGCGAAAGCGUGGGGAGCAAACAGG
rnacentral:rRNA from 1 species